UACGGGGGGGGGUAAGCGUUGUUCGGAAUUACUGGGCGUAAAGCGCGCGCAGGCGGCUCUUUAAGUCUGACGGUGAAAUGCCGGGGCUCAACCCCGAGCGUGCCGGAGAUACUGGAGGGCUGGAGACGAGUAGAGGCAAGCGGAAUUCCGGGUGUAGCGGUGGAAUGCGUAGAGAUCCGGAAGAACACCGGAGGCGAAGGUGGCUUGCUGGGCUCGGUCUGACGCUGAGGCGCGAAAGCGUGGGGAGCGAACAGG
rnacentral:rRNA from 1 species